CAAAGAUUAGCCUGUUAAACGUACUUCCCGCCUGCAUAAGAUACAAACUGCUCCUCAUCCAAUAGCAACAAUUCAGAUAGGGACCUGUCUGCCCACCCGUAACUUGAGUUAGCUUCUCUACCAUUCAAAUGCAUUAGCGAUUUGUUUCCUUCAAAAGAGCACUUUUCUCUUAUCAGCCAUAUUGUAGUAAUUGGUUUGUCUUUAUUAGGGCAGUGAUAUCAUGAGUAAAGGAGGAUGUCAAACUUCUCAGCCAGGCAUGUGGCAUUGCUUUUACACUCCAAUUAGAAUCAAAGCACUUUUGAGUGAAAGGUAAGCCUCUUUUAUUUUUUACUCUGGACAUUGGUGAAUCAUGCAAGGAAUUUUAGUAGGCCUAGCUACACAAUUUGAAAUACCCCUACAGGCAGUAUGCUAUGUCAUUUCUGAAAUAUGAAUAAUUUGGCUCGUUUACCUGGUUAGGCCUCUGAACAGAGCAGGUAAAUCUACAGCCUAAUGAAAUUCAGUCAGCGACCUUUAUCAUUAUGCAAUUUCCUUGCAUAGCAUUUUGGCAGUGUAACAAAUUAAAGGGUACAGUUCGACACCGUGCCAUUUCAAAACGACAAAAAUACAAUCUACCACUACAUUUUUUCCCCCCCUACAGAGACUGGGGAUUAACAUUUCUGAGAUUAGGUGGGCGGGCGUGUAGAAUUUCAGCAUCUUUCAGAGGCACAAUGGCUCCUUUUUACGGUUUCCUCGUCUAUUCUCCGGCGGUGGGGGCUUGCUUGCCUUUGCUCCUGUAUUCGUUUUACGUUUUCAGAAUACCCUUGUUUUUGAAAACAUGUCUAAGAACCACAGAGGAAAACAAACUUUGUAUUUAACCCAGUCGCAAACUGAGUUUUUUCUCUCCCCCAGACACUUCCUAUCACGCCGCUGCCACCUUCUGGGAAAAGCACGACAUGGCGUAAUAUUGCACAGGACAACUACAAAGCAAUCUUCUCCUCAAAGCUUGACACCCUCCCCUGGCUCCAUGUACCCAUCAAGAGGCAGCAGGGGGCUGAAGCGCAGCAAGGGCAGGUCCACCGAGGGGCAGCAGUCCUUAGGGCGAGCCCAGCCAUCCUUAGGGCGCCAUACGGGUGGGGGCAACUCCGAGUUGGUGCGGCUGGAACGGUUUUUGCAGUCAGGAGGGUGGAUGCUCCCGAGGCUGCUGCGCCGACAGUGGACCAGGAAGGCCCCCCAGUGGUGGCGAUGGUACAGCACGCCCACAGUACAGAGGAGCAGCAGGAUGAGGAAGCUGAACAGGAAGCACACCACGUAG
rnacentral:lncRNA from 13 species